rnacentral:tRNA from 4 species
GAAGGUGUAGCUCAGUUGGUUAGAGUACCUGCUUGACAUGCAGGGGGUCGAUGGUUCAAGUCCAUUCAUCUUCACCA